UACGUAGGGGGCUAGCGUUGUCCGGAAUCAUUGGGCGUAAAGAGCGUGUAGGCGGUCCGGUAAGUCCGCUGUGAAAGCCCUGGGCUCAACCUGGGAACUGCAGUGGAUACUGAGAAGCUAGAGUGUGUCAGAGGAUGGUGGAAUUCCCGGUGUAGCGGUGAAAUGCGUAGAGAUCGGGAGGAACAUCAGUGGCGAAGGCGGCCAUCUGGGACAACACUGACGCUGAGGCACGAAAGCGUGGGGAGCAAACAGG
rnacentral:rRNA from 1 species